AUUGAACGCUGGCGGCAUGCCUUACACAUGCAAGUCGAACGGCAGCGGACCUUCGGGUGCCGGCGAGUGGCGAACGGGUGAGUAAUAUAUCGGAACGUACCUUUCAGUAGGGGAUAACGUAGCGAAAGUUACGCUAAUACCGCAUAUUCUGUGAGCAGGAAAGCAGGGGAUCGCAAGACCUUGCGCUGAUUGAGCGGCCGAUAUCAGAUUAGCUAGUUGGUGAGGUAAAGGCUCACCAAGGCGACGAUCUGUAGCGGGUCUGAGAGGAUGAUCCGCCACACUGGAACUGAGACACGGUCCAGACUCCUACGGGAGGCAGCAGUGGGGAAUUUUGGACAAUGGGCGCAAGCCUGAUCCAGCCAUGCCGCGUGAGUGAAGAAGGCCU
rnacentral:rRNA from 1 species